rnacentral:rRNA from 1 species
AUUGAACGCUGGCGGCAUGCUUUACACAUGCAAGUCGAACGGCAGCGCGGGCUUCGGCCUGGCGGCGAGUGGCGAACGGGUGAGUAAUACAUCGGAACGUGCCCAGUAGUGGGGGAUAGCUCGGCGAAAGCCGGAUUAAUACCGCAUACGACCUGAGGGUGAAAGCGGGGGAUCUUCGGACCUCGCGCUAUUGUAGCGGCCGAUGGCAGAUUAGCUAGUUGGUGGGGUAAAGGCCUACCAAGGCGACGAUCUGUAGCUGGUCUGAGAGGACGACCAGCCACACUGGGACUGAGACACGGCCCAGACUCCUACGGGAGGCAGCAGUGGGGAAUUUUGGACGAUGGGCGAAAGCCUGAUCCAGCAAUGCCGCGUGUGUGAUGAAGGCCUUCGGGUUGUAAAGCACUUUUGGCGGGAACGAAAAGGACUGUGCCAAUACCACGGUUCGAUGACGGUACCCGCAGAAUAAGCACCGGCUAACUACGUG